UUUUUUUUUUUUUUUUUUUUUUUUUGGAGGGACGGGUUUCUGAGAAUGUCACUUUUUGUCCUUUGCAUCAUGUCUCUGCAAAUAUCUUUUUGUCCAUCGUGGUGGUGGUCUCACACUCUCUCUCUUUCUCUCAUUCUCUUUCUCUCUCUCUUUCUUUCUUUUUUUCUUCUUUUCCUGGUAGCAGGCCUCCAUAGAACAAAUUUAAAACACACAACUGGCAUGGAAAUGUAAGGAGAGCUUCAGUGGCACCUCACCACCCCCCUCCGAGAUCUGUCCUAAGACAUAAGACAGUCUCAGAAAGCUGCACUGCCCACCCCCCGGCACAGCUUUCAUUCAAAUCAGCUUCCAAGGCCAAUUUCGUCCUGAAGUCAAUGCAUGUAUUUACUGUUUGACAGUAAACCCGCUCUGCCUUCUCCACGUCCAAGGCUGUGCAUUCGUCUAAUUAGUGUCGUGGGACAAGCAUGGGUGUUGGGUUUCAGAAAUCAGUCCCUGGCAAGACUUGUGUCUCAAAUCGACCAUUGGAAUUUCAAGAACUGCUCUGAAGACACCGAGAACCUUUCCAGAUGAGGGACAUUUUCCUUCACCCUCAACGGAAGCUUUGCUGAUCCUGAGGGGGUUUCUUAAUGGACAGUGUUCAGCCAGGUACCCAUGCUUGAUCCGUCUUCACACCAGACUUCCUCAUAUUAAAAGGAAAAAAAAACGAAAAAAAAAAAUUCUUUACGAAAUCACGUGGCUAUUUAGUUUCAUGCACAGUUGCAAUAUUUUCUUCAAAAAUAAAACUCUGUACAAACUUUGGGCCCGAUUCAUAAGAAAAAGAAAUUGGCUAUUAACACGGGAUUUUUUUUAAGUGUUAACUUUUUGGGGGUCUAAAUUUGGAACUACUGCUUCCCAAAUUAAAUGUUUCAUCUCAUUUUUUUGUUUUGUUUUGUUUUCCCUAAGCCAGCAUCCAUCUGCCUUUUAUGCCCCACAGGGUUAUAUAAUCAAAUGAGGGGGAUGGGGAAGUGGGGAGCAGAUACCAGAAAUGCUCAGAAAAUAAGGGGGGACCAUCUGCGCUAGAGCCUAGAUAACGGGGGAGGCAGCAGCGUGAGGGGGCAGGACCUCGCCUGUGUGCGGGCGUCACGAGUUUCCACACGUGGACUCCUGAUGCUAUUUAAUUUAAACACACACACACACACAAUUUCCAAAGUGUGUCUGGACCACAAAAGUAUGUGAUGGAAGCGCCAGCUCUAAUCCAACCAGGGCACCUUCAUGGUAGAAAAUACUCCCCAGGCGUGCAGGGUGGAUUUGUGACUUUUCACGGUGGUUUCUAGGACAAAUUGGGCUCUUUUUCCUGCUGUUUUUGUGCUCAGCUUCUCAGACUGACACAAACUUUUUUACCCCCUUUGAAUUUAUUUUGUUAUUCUUAUUUAAAAAUAUUUUUUAGUCAUAGUCUAUAAUUUAGCACUUUAAAAAAAAAAAAUACAUCUCAAUCGAAGGCUACCUGGCCACUGGCUACUUUGGGAUGGAGAUUGAGAGAGCAGUCCCUUCUCCCUGGUCUCCAGCUGCCUUUCUGCACGACAAAGGCAUUUGAUAGCAUCGCCCGGGAGGUCCUAGCUAGACCUAGAGCUGGAGCUUUAUCAGAUGCCAGGAGGCCCUUCGGAAGGCUUUCAAAGGCCCAUGCAUGAUCGUCCUCCCCUGCAGCCCUGAUCUCUAAGAACCAAGUUCCCCGGGGACUUUUCCCACCACCCUUGGAAAUCCAUCUACUCAAGAUACCUCCAUUGUUUUUGCAUUUCAAAUUGGGGGGGAAGGGGAUUAAACACUCCCAGUGACAAGAGAUCUGUUGUGAAACGAAACACCCCCCGUGUUAAUAAGUUGGUUUGACCUUUGUUUUUUAUGAGCCGGGCCCCCUGUGCCUCUAGGAUACUUGUAUUGACUCUCAUAGUUACCCUUUUAGUUUGACUGUGUUCUGUGAAAAUUUGUAAUUGGUUGAGAAUCACUGUGGGCGUCCAUUCUUAUUCAACUAAAUCUCCACAGGUUUUUUGAGCUGGUGUGGAUUAGUUUAACUCUUGUAUUCAACCAUUAGUGCUACCACCUUCUCACAUUACAAUACAAUUACUGGAAGCAAGUACUGCAUUUCCUAUGCAACAAAAAAGGAAAAAUAAAAAAUUGCUAAUGC
rnacentral:lncRNA from 1 species